AUGGCCAAAAUAACUCAGCAGUGGCCACAGGACUGGAAAAGGUCAGUUUUCAUUGCAAUCCCAAAGAAAGGCAAUGUCAGAGAAUGCUCAGACUACCUCACAGUUGCACCCCUCUCACAUGCUAGUGAAGUAAUUCUCAAAAUUCUCCAAGCCAGGCUUCAGCAAUACAUGAACCGUGAACUUCCAGAUGUUCAAGCCAGUUUUAGAAAAGGCAGAGGAACCAGAGAUCAAAUUGCCAACAUCUGCUGGAUCAUGGAAAAAGUAAGAGAGUUCCAGAAAAAUGUCUAUUUCUGCUUUAUUGACUAUGCCAAAGCCUUUGACUGUGUGGAUCACAGUAAACUGUGGAAAAUUCCUCAAGAGAUGGGAAUACCAGACCACCUGACCUGCCUGUUGAGAAACCUAUAUGCAGGUCAGGAAGCAACAGUUAGAACUGGACAUGGAACAACAGACUGGUUCCAAAUAGGAAAAGGAGUACAUCAAGGUUGUGUAUUGUCAGCCUGUUUAUUUAACUUAUAUACAGAGUACAUCAUGAGAAACGCUGGGCUGGAAGAAGCACAAGCUGGAAUCAAGAUUGCAGGGAGAAAUAUCAGUAACCUCAGAUAUACAGAUGACACCACCCUUAUGGCAGAAAGUGAAGAGGAACUCAAAAGCCUCUUGAUGAAAGUGAAAGAAAAGAGUGAAAAAGUUGACUUAAAGCUCAACAUUCAGAAAACUAAGAUCAUGGCAUCUGGUCCCAUCACUUCAUGGGAAAUAGAUGGGGAAACAGUGGAAACAGUGUCAGACUUUAUUUUUCUGGGCUCCAAAAUCACUGCAGAUGGUGAUUGCAGCCAUGAAGUUAAAAGACGCUUACUCCUUGGAAGGAAAGUUAUGACCAACCUAGAUAGCAUAUCAAAAAGCAGAGACAUUACUUUGCCAACAAAGGGCCGUCUAGUCAAGGCUGUGGUUUUUCCAGUGGUCAUGUAUGGAUGUGAGAGUUGGACUGUAAAGAAAGCUGAGCACCAAAGAAUUGAUGCUUUUGAACUGUGGAGUUGGAGAAGACUCUUGAGAGUCCCUUGGACUGCAAGGAGAUGCAACCAGUCCAUUCUAAAGGAGAUCAGUCCUGGAUGUUCUUUGGAAGGAAUGAUGCUAAAGCUGAAACUCCAAUACUUUGGCUACCUGAUACGAAGAGUUGUCUCAUUGGAAAAGACUCUGAUACUGGGAAGGAUUGGG
rnacentral:lncRNA from 1 species